GUGCUCAUUUCAGGAGCACAUACACUAAAAUUGGAACAAUACAGAGAUUAGCAGAGCCCCCUCCCCCACACAAGGAUGAUGCGCACAUUCAUGAAGUUUCAUAUUUAAAA